GCGACGACGGGUAGCCGGCCUGAGAGGGCGACCGGCCACACUGGGACUGAGACACGGCCCAGACUCCUACGGGAGGCAGCAGUGGGGAAUAUUGCACAAUGGGCGAAAGCCUGAUGCAGCGACGCCGCGUGAGGGAUGAAGGCCUUCGGGUUGUAAACCUCUUUCAGCAGGGAAGAAGCGCAAGUGACGGUACCUGCAGAAGAAGCGCCGGCUAACUACGUGCCAGCAGCCGCGGUAAUACGUAGGGCGCAAGCGUUGUCCGGAAUUAUUGGGCGUAAAGAGCUCGUAGGCGGUUUGUCGCGUCUGGUGUGAAAACUCAAGGCUCAACCUUGAGCUUGCAUCGGGUACGGGCAGACUAGAGUGCGGUAGGGGUGACUGGAAUUCCUGGUGUAGCGGUGGAAUGCGCAGAUAUCAGGAGGAACACCGAUGGCGAAGGCAGGUCACUGGGCCGCAACUGACGCUGAGGAGCGAAAGCAUGGGGAGCGAACAGGAUUAGAUACCCUGGUAGUCCAUGCCGUAAACGUUGGGCACUAGGUGUGGGGCUCAUUCCACGAGUUCCGUGCCGCAGCAAACGCAUUAAGUGCCCCGCG
rnacentral:rRNA from 1 species